rnacentral:rRNA from 1 species
CAGGAUAACCGCUGAAAGCAUCUAAGCGGGAAGCCCCUUCCAAGAUGAGAUCUCCCUGGACCCUCGAGGUCCCUGAAGAGCCGUUCAAGACCAGGACGUUGAUAGGUCGGGUGUGUAAGCGCUGCGAGGCGUUGAGCUAACCGAUACUAAUUGCUCGUGCGGCUUGACUAUAUAACACCCAAG